GGGUGAUUAGCUCAGUGGUAGAGCGACUGCUUUACACGCAGUAGGUCGUAGGUUCAAUCCCUACAUCACCCACCA
rnacentral:tRNA from 1 species